CUUCAAUUGCUAAGGCAUUGCUAGCUAGUAUUGCACUUGCAGCUGUAGCAACUACAACUGCACCUACAUCUUUUACUGAAGCCUUUACUCCCAUUUUGGAUGUUUGGUUGGUGGACACCAUUUUCGCUACAUUGCUAAUUUUGGAACAUGUACCGGAUUUAAGGCCACUGAAUGAUGGGAUAGUAACUGCAGCAGAGGUUACACUGGCCAUUGUCUUGCUUUUCACUAUUCUUGUUACUUCUCUAACUGGCUAAGUGAAAACUUGGGAUCA
rnacentral:lncRNA from 1 species